rnacentral:rRNA from 2 species
CGAUGAAGAACGUAGCGAAAUGCGAUACUUGGUGUGAAUUGCAGAAUCCCGUGAACCAUCGAGUCUUUGAACGCAAGUUGCGCCUGAAGCCAUUAGGUUGAAGGCACGUCUGCCUGGGCGUCACGCAUUGCGUCACCCACUCCCCCCCGUGUCCCAAGUGGGCAC